CGCCUUUUCUUUGCUCCGCCUCCCGGCCCAGGGUUGGGGGAGGGGGGCGCAGCUCCGCCCAUCGCGAGAGGGGAUAAACGGGAGGGGGGGACGAGGAGGAGCCUCUGGAGGGGGGGGGCGUGCUCAGCGCCACAGCAGCAGCAGCAGCAUCUGCCAGCAUCCGCAUCCCCGCCGCCGCCGCUCCUUCCUGCAGCCAUGCCGGUCUUCGUCAUCUCCACCAACGUCUCGCGGGACGCGCUGCCCGAGGGGCUGCUGGCCGAGCUCACCGAGGAGCUGGCCAAGGCCACGGGCAAGCCGGCGCAGUACGUCUCCGUGCAAGUGAACCCGGACCAGGUGAUGUCCUUCGGGGGCUCCAGCGCGCCCUGCGCCGUAUGCAGCCUCCACAGCAUCGGCAAAAUCAGCGCGCCGCAGAACAAGGCCUACAGCGCCAUGCUGAGCGCGCUCCUGACCAAGCGCCUGCGCGUGCCCGCCGACAGGGUCUACAUCAACUUCCACGACAUGGCCCCGGCCAACGUGGGAUGGAACGGCUCCACCUUCGCGUAGCAGCGGCGCCGGCGCCGGGAAGGGGCGGGGCUUGGGGGCGGGGCAAUAAAGGCUUCUGAACAGUCCUUCUGACUCCGGCUGUCUUAUUGGCGCGGGCGAAGGGCGGUGGGAGGGGGGGUGGCCUGGGCCCCCUCCAGCGUCAUCAGAGCGCGCCGCCGGCAGGCAUGGCGCUCUUCGUGGUUCCCAGGUAUGUUAGUGAUGAAGAGGAUAAUCCAGAAUGUAAGUCCCAGUUGCUCUUACAUCGGCUGCAGGAGCAAGCAAAGACUCGGCAGCUGCAAAAACAGGAACAGAACUGGCCCACUUCUGGGCAACGAAAGAGAUUGGCGCCUGGAGCCCCUGAAGAAGAGACCAACGAGGAAUUAAAGCAAACAAGCAAAAAGAAGAAAGUAAGUCAGGAAUCUCUUUCAGCCCAAAGUCACAGAGAAAAGGAGCCAAGACGACAUACUUUUGGGGCAGAAAGUUUGCCCGAGAAAGAUGGCUCAAGCAAACGUAAGAAGAAUGGUGGGAAUUCUAGAACACCUCAAGGAAAGACAGAAGCAGUUCAAGGAGAUGAAGGUAUGUUGGAGACUCAUCCGGAAAGUCGAGCUACCCCAGAAGAAGAAGGUAUGGGAGGUUUUGGAGACAAAGAGAGCCAAGCCAGUAAGGAUCAGAGGAUGCAGGCAUCAAAUCCAAGGACAGCUUCUUCACCUUCCAGCAUGAUUGUCCUUGGUCCUUCUGAUCAAAGGAAUCUGCACAAGGUAACAUGAUGGUUAACCAACAUCAAAUCAAACCUUUACUAUGGCCAGGGUCCAAAAGGAGUUUGGGGUGCAGUCAAUUUAAAAGUCCAAAAACUACUUCAGUCUAAAACUGCAAGCAAAAGCCAGCCCAAAACACUUAUCAGCUCCCCCAGAAGGAGAAGGAACCCACACACACCCCCACUCCCAAACUACACCUAGCCAUUUCAUUGAGAAAGUCUUCUCCUCACCAAGGCUCCUGGCUGGCAGUUCCUGCCACACUUAUUUAAUGAAAACUCUGCCUUUUUAAUUUGCAGGGCCGCUGCCUCCUUGGCCCCGGUUUAAGGCAGAUUGUUUGAGCGUUGGAGAAGAACAGAAACCUUGACGGGAGCUAUUGAGAGGGUGGGUGGGGCUUCCCUUCGUGGGUGGGUGGGUCCAGAGCAGAGGCUUCUAGGGAUUCCUGCCUAGGUUGGGCUCUCAAGAAGGUGAGGGCUCUGCGUUUAACUUCCAGGUGCCGCCUUUUGUGCCACGGUGGUUCAGCCAGCCGCAGCAGUUCCAGAGGCAGAUCCGAGAGAACCUCGUCCCUCUCCAGGAUGUUCCAGUCAUUCACCCUAAGCUGAGAAAGAAGCUGCUAGCCAAUGGAAUAGCCUCUCUCUUCCCAGGUAUCACAAGCAGGAGGAGAGCCGGCCACAUAUUUCUGAAGUUCAUUUGCCAAG
rnacentral:lncRNA from 1 species